GAUGAACGCUGGCGGCGUGCCUAAUACAUGCAAGUCGAGCGAAUGGAUUAAGAGCUUCCUCUUAUGAAGUUAGCGGCGGACGGGUGAGUAACACGUGGGUAACCUGCCCAUAAGACUGGGAUAACUCCGGGAAACCGGGGCUAAUACCGGAUAACAUUUUGAACCGCAUGGUUCGAAAUUGAAAGGCGGCUUCGGCUGUCACUUAUGGAUGGACCCGCGUCGCAUUAGCUAGUUGGUGAGGUAACGGCUCACCAAGGCAACGAUGCGUAGCCGACCUGAGAGGGUGGUCGGCCACACUGGGACUGAGACACGGCCCAGACUCCUACGGGAGGCAGCAGUAGGGAAUCUUCCGCAAUGGACGAAAGUCUGACGGAGCAACGCCGCGUGAGUGAUGAAGGCUUUCGGGUCGUAAAACUCUGUUGUUAGGGAAGAACAAGUGCUAGUUGAAUAAGCUGGCACCUUGACGGUACCUAACCAGAAAGCCACGGCUAACUACGUGCCAGCAGCCGCCGCGG
rnacentral:rRNA from 1 species